CCAGCCGGCCUCACACUUUUAAGGGACAAAAUCAAAUUCCAGGUAGCUCAGGUUGGGUGAAACCACUGGUCAAAAGGAUUUGCUGCCAAGCUGACUCAGAAAAGCCAACAUCCAAAAUCAGGCUCUUUGUAGGCAUUCCCCUGCCCCAGCCAGGUAUGAAGGGAUAGGAGGCUGGACCUGAAUGGGGAUUUCAAAGUAAUGUCAAGUAAAAGGACAGGAUCUCCUCACUUCCGGUUAACAAUCACAAACAACUCCUGCCAUUAUGCAGGAAACGUGUACUUGGGGAGAGGGGGCCAUUCACCAACUCUGACACAGACACAAGUACCCUGCUUAGAGGAGAGGAGAGGGGGAGCCAGGUACCAACUCUAACAUAGAUACAAGUACCCUGCUUAGAGGUGAGGAGAGGGGGAGCCAGGUACCAACUCUAACAUAGAUACAAGUACCCUGCUUAGAGGUGAGGAGAGAGGGGGUCAGAUACUAUCUCCAACGCAGGCAGGAUUAUUGUCAUGGGUCAAUCUGGAAAGACCCAGACUGUCUGAGUCCAGGCCUGGGAGCCCAUGGUGUGUUUACACAGGCACCUAGUUUACAGGAGCCAGAUCAAUAGAGCAGAACUUAAAAUUAUACCUCAAAAAACUCUGGGGCUUUUUGUUUAUUUGUUUGUUUGUUUGUUUGUUUUAUUCUUUCUCAUACAUUACAUCCUGACCUCAGUUUCCCCUCCCUCCUCUUCUCCCAGGCCUCCCCCCAAAAUCCACUCCUGAUCCAUUUCUUUUCUGAAAAGGACACGCCUUCCAGGGUUCUCAACCAAAGUGGACUAGGGAUAGCCCCGUAGUUGUGGACCACAGCAAGGUUACUGAAUACGGACGGACAUUGUAUACAGAUCUGUAUAGGGACACUGUCAGGACUGUGUUACAUAAAAAUAGAACCAGAUGGGAGCUCUAGUUUAGGAAAACAAUUGACGACGACGACACAAUAGGAAGCAAAUGAAAGAGGAAGUGGAGAUGGAGCUCCGCCCAGGACCCGCACCUCCGCGCAGGACCCCACCUCCGCCCGGGACCCGCACCUCGGCCCGGGACCCGCAGCUCGGCCCGGGACCCGCACCUCGGCCCGGGACCCGCACCUCGGCCCGGGACCUGCACCUCGGCCCAGGACCUGCUGUCCAACAGCAGUGCAGAAUGUCAUCAGGACAAACUGUCCUUUAAAAUUCAAUCCCUCUAGUCUCAAAACUGGGACCCGAAUUCAGUUCAAUGCAGCCCUGACAAGGACCACAGGCCAACGGCAAACGUGACAGCUUAUUCAAAGACGGGGUGCACAGUUUACCAUGGGGCUGCGGUGAUGGAAAGCUCGAAGCACAGAACUUUUCAUUCCCUUGUAAAUCCUGAUGCCAGAUCGCGGUCUUCGAUUCCUGUCAUGGCCUCAGUUCUUAAGUCUACGCCAAUCCUGUCUCAGAGGAGUGUCUGGCCACUAUGCUAUAUAUGUGCGAAUGCACAAGUGUGUGUUUGAAAUAAAGAUUUGUUUUCACAAAAUUAA